rfam:Oryctolagus cuniculus chromosome 12, whole genome shotgun sequence.
CCAAAGGCUCUUUUCAGAGCCACGCAUGCUUUCAAUAAAUGAGUUG